UAUUGCGCAUGGCGUGCUGCGCAGCGACGCGCGUGAGGGCGAAACGCUGACGCAGCGACGCCGCGUGAGGGAAGAAGGCCUUCGGGUCGUAAACCUCUGUCAGGAGGGAAGAACCGUGAUGGUAAUAAUCAGCCGCAGUCUGACGGUACCUCCAGAGGAAGCACCG
rnacentral:rRNA from 1 species